AAAGAUUAAGCCAUGCAUGUCUAAGUAUAAGCAAUUAUACAGCGAAACUGCGAAUGGCUCAUUAAAUCAGUUAUCGUUUAUUUGAUAGUACCUUACUACAUGGAUAACCGUGGUAAUUCUAGAGCUAAUACAUGCUUAAAAUCCCGACUUCGGAAGGGAUGUAUUUAUUAGAUUAAAAACCAAUGCCCUUCGGGGCUCACUGGUGAUUCAUAAUAACUUCUCGAAUCGCACGGCCUUGCGCCGGCGAUGGUUCAUUCAAAUUUCUGCCCUAUCAACUUUCGACGGCUGGGUCUUGGCCAGCCGUGGUGACAACGGGUAACGGGGAAU
rnacentral:rRNA from 1 species